UACGAAGGGGGCUAGCGUUGCUCGGAAUCACUGGGCGUAAAGCGCACGUAGGCGGACAUUUAAGUCAGGGGUGAAAUCCCAGAGCUCAACUCUGGAACUGCCUUUGAUACUGGGUGUCUAGAGUAUGGAAGAGGUGAGUGGAAUUCCGAGUGUAGAGGUGAAAUUCGUAGAUAUUCGGAGGAACACCAGUGGCGAAGGCGGCUCACUGGUCCAUUACUGACGCUGAGGUGCGAAAGCGUGGGGAGCAAACAGG
rnacentral:rRNA from 1 species